GAUGAAGAACGCAGCGAAAUGCGAAAAGUAAUGUGAAUUGCAGAAUUCAGUGAACCAUCGAAUCUUUGAACGCACAUUGCGCCCGCUGGAACUCCGGCGGGCACGCCUGUCCGAGCGUCAUUUCAACCCUCAGGCCCCCCUUCGCGGGCGGGCCUGGUGUUGGGGCCCGGCCGCUACCCUGCGGCCGUCCCCUAAAUCCAGUGGCGGCCUCGCCGUGAUCCCUUGCGUAGUAAUGCACCUCGCACCGGAGAGCGCCGUGGCCACGCCGUAAAACCCCCAAUUUUCAAUGGUUGACCUCGGAUCAGGAGGGAAUACCCGCUGAACUUAAGCAUAUCAAUAAGCGGAGGA
rnacentral:misc_RNA from 1 species